rnacentral:sRNA from 1 species
CAACAGCUGUUUUAUAGUUUCAUAUAUUAUACAGUCCAACGAAGCAGCUUCUGCUUCUGCUAGCAUGCUGGCAGAGAUAUUGAAUUAAUUUGAAUUGUGAAACGAGACAAAACGGUCGGUGUGUUUUGAAUGCCACGGCGUUACGGCGUUUUCAAAAAAUUACGAUUACUACAUUACAAUCACAAUAAAAAUUUUAUGAAUUAAAAAUUAAAACUAAAAAAAAUAUAAUUAUUAAAUAAAAAAAUAACGUUAUAUUCGUAUUAUUUUAACGUUAUUAUUCGGAAUCGAAUGAAUGAAAAUGAACUUUUGUGCGAAUUCUUUGGCGAUUUGUAGUGGAAUAAAACUAAAAACGAGAAUAUAACGAUAAUAAUCGAAAGCAAAACAAAAAAGGAUAAAUAUAUGAAAAAUUCAGAAAUCUAAAAUCCAUUAAAUUAUCUUUCGGUGAAGAGUGGAGAGUGCCUUUGUUUUCUCGUAAAUGAACCAUAUAGAGUGCGCGCGUGUUUUUUGUUGUCGGUUUUUUUUUUUUCGUUGCUUUUUGUAAGUUUUUUCUCUUGCUGGGGCUGAGUGAUGUGGAGUGCGUGCGUGUGUGUCCGUCUGCAGUUAAAUAAAAAUGUUUGUGAUUGCGCAUGAAUUACGGUGUUGAUACGAUUCGUUUAUUGCGGCUCCCACUCCCCAAAAAUGAAAAUAGAAAUAAACAAAAAAGUAAGAGAAGUCAAAAAAGAAGAAGAAGCAGAAAAAUAAUACAACUACUACUCGAUUGCAUUGUUUAUGGUGUGCGUUUUUUUUACUGCGUUUCUAUUUCAUUCAACACUAUCGAUAUUUUUGGUCUUUUGGAAAAAUAAAAUAAAGUGAGCCUAGAGGUGACCAAGUUGUUUUGUGAAAUUGAAUGCAGGCAUUGAAAAAGAAGAAAUAAACAACAAAAAGCCCCCUCAGAGAAUUUGUAAACAAAACCUGAAAAAAAUUCCAAUUCCCCCAUUAAACAACAACAACAAAGCAAGUGUGUGGAGAGAAAACACCAAAUAAAAUCAAGAAAACCCCAAUAAAAUAAAAAUUGCUAUUUGUGUUAAACGAAUUAACAAACGUUUUAUUUACCUAGAGUGUUUUUUUUGUUUAUUCGUGCGACGACAACGACGUCAAAGUGCAAAAGUAAAACAAAACGUUAAGAAAAACACGGAAAAAACGGAGAAAAAAAACGUGUUCGCCGCGGUGUUUUAGAAAUAUUGAAUGUUUUUUUUUUAACCUACCUAUACGGUUUCGAAAUUUCCUCUCUCAUAAAUAAUCAUAAACGUAACGAAACACCAGGCAUAGUGAAAUAGAGAAGAAAAAUUAAACAAAAAUCUUAAGCGUAACUAAUUAAAGCAACAAGUUUGGUUUUUUGGUGAAAGAUACAAAAAUUAUUUAAUAAUUUUAAUUACAACAAAGAAUUUGGAAUUUCAUAUCACCACACAGAGAGAGAGAGAGAGAAAGAGUGAAAAAGUGAGUAGUUGGGAAAUAAAUUGUUUCUUUAUUCUUCAAGUCAACAACCAGCAGAACUAGCCAACCCACCCAUCAACAAUUCUUAAAAAUUUGAAUUUGUGUAGCUUUGAAAGAAAUUCAAGAACAUUCAAAGGCCGGCCUUUCUAAACUAAACGAAUGAAAUAUUCUCGAUAAAGAAAAGAAAAUAGAAAUCGAAAGAAGAAAAGUGCUUAGGAUAAAUCAAGUGUUAGAGAAAGUGUUGCAGGAAAAUAGUCUUCCCAAACAUUCCACAUCGAUAUAAGUCAUAUGAAUCUAUUGGAUUAACACAGCAGCAUAAACAAUUGGAGCUUUGCUGUAAUAAUAAUCUUCAAAAAAGAUUUCCUUUUACGUGGCCCCUUCAAUAACAACAUCAAACCAAACC